AGUAUAGAUUAUUUUUGUUUGAAAUUACAGCACUUCAUCCUUCUUUCUCGCACUCGCCGCAGAGAAAGACCAUCGCAGAUCUUCGAUGCCUCUUCUCCUACGUUCCAAGCCUCUAAAAAAUCUCUGACGAGAUCCUCGUCAACACCGUCGACAUCAAGCAGCGAGAUCCCUCCAUGGCAGCCGUCAAGGUCACCAUCAAUGCCAAACAGAACACUGUAUCCGUCUUCAACAACGGCGAUGUCAUACCCAUCGAGAUCCCCAAACUCAUUUGCGGCCACUUGCUCACUAACAGCAAUUAUGGUGACAACAUUAAGGAGAUCACCGGUGGAUGCAACAGCUAUGGUGCGAAGCUCACCAACAUCUUCUCCACCGAGUUCAGCAUCAAAAUCGUCGACGGAAAGGGCAAGAAGUAUAAAUAGGCACCUCCAAGGAAUCAUCCUCUUUUGCUCUUGUCAGCGUGAGAACUAACGCCAUUGGAUAUGACCUUUCACCUAAGUUUGUUCUGGUGCAAAAGACAUAUUUUGGCUCCUUCCUCACACAUUCGUAGAUCCAUCUAGAUAGUGACCUCCACAAAAGGAUACAAUUGAAGUCAUUAGCAGAAGAAAUGCAAGCAAUCAUCAGGGGAUUAGAAAAGGUUAAAGAGGAGCUGACUGCAUCAGAAAACGAUGGCCCAGUGACUGAAGUUUUUCGUAAGGCAAUUAUCUCUGGAUGUUCUGUGCUGGAGAGUUGGCUGCAAUUUUAAAUUGUGAUCGAUUCAAAUCACUACUACCUAGAACAACUAAAGUGAAAUGCCUUGCAGAUGCUGGUUAUUUUAUCAAUGUGUAAGCUUAUUUGUCUUCUUUUUACUUAUCUUUCUUUGUAAAUGCAGCCCAUGAUUCAUGGCAGGUCAUAUUAUUCUCUUUCUAGAAAAAAAAAUCAUUUUAAUUCUGAAAUAGUGUUAUGUAUUGUUCCAACUUAAAACUGAUACUAUGUUUAUAUUCAUUGAUCAAUUGGUGCUAGUUUUGUCCUUUAUCUCACAAAAUUCAUAUAUGAGGAUUUAUACAAAACAAUGUGAUUAAUUUUUCUUAACAUUCCCAGUUAAAAAAAAAACUAUGAUUAUUUAAUUAACUCUAGUGAAAAUUCGGCUGUCACAAACUGAGCCAAGGUUUUUCUAUAGAAGCAGGUUACUUAUAAAUCAGCCAGUAGAUGUGUCUUUUAUGAUCAUUAUUCUAUAGUGCAGACUCAGAAAUUCUUUAUGCAGGUGGACAAGCUUAAAGGGGAACUAGAAACACAAAACAAGGAGAAAGGGAACACGGAAACUCGAGUGUUUGUUAGAGAAAAAAGUUAAUGACUUGAACUCAAAAUUAGAAGAUUUAAGUUUUACGUUUACCAACAAUUCUGUUUUAACUAAUGUGCCUUAAGUGCAUCUCAUUAUUGUUUUAACUAAUGUGCCUUAAGUAUAUUACUCCAGCAUCAUCAUCAGCUGCUAAUAAUAUCUACUCCUGUUGGCUUUAGGUU